rnacentral:rRNA from 1 species
GCCCCUACGGGGGGCAGCAGUGGGGAAUAUUGCACAAUGGGGGAAACCCUGAUGCAGCGACGCCGCGUGAGUGAAGAAGUAUUUCGGUAUGUAAAGCUCUAUCAGCAGGGAAGAAGAAGGACGGUACCUGAGUAAGAAGCCCCGGCUAACUACGUGCCAGCAGCCGCGGUAAUACGUAGGGGGCAAGCGUUAUCCGGAUUUACUGGGUGUAAAGGGAGCGUAGACGGCGAAGAAAGUCUGAAGUGAAAGCCCGCGGCUCAAC